rnacentral:rRNA from 1 species
GAACCGGGAUGAGCUCAAAUUUAAAAUCUGGCGUCUUUCAGGCGUCCGAGUUGUAAUCUAUAGAGGCGUUUUCCGCGCCGGACCGCGUCCAAGUCUCUUGGAAUAGAGUAUCAAAGAGGGUGACAAUCCCGUACUUGACGCGACAACCGGUGCUCUGUGAUACGUUCUCAAUGAGUCGAGUUGUUUGGGAAUGCAGCUCUAAAUGGGUGGUAAAUUCCAUCUAAGGCUAAAUAUUGGCGAGAGACCGAUAGCGAACAAGUACCGUGAGGGAAAGAUGAAAAGCACUUUGGAAAGAGAGUUAAACAGCACGUGAAAUUGUUAAAAGGGAAACGAUUGAAGUCAGUCGUGUGAAAGGUAUUCAGCCGUCUCUGGCGGUGUAUUUGCCUUUCACGGGUCAACAUCAGUUUGAUCCGGUAGAAAAAGGCGGGAGGAAGGUGGCACCCUCGGGUGUGUUAUAGCCUCCUGUCAUAUGUGCCGGACCAGACUGAGGAACGCAGCUUGCCGCAAGGCCGGGGUUCGCCCACGUACAAGCUUAGGAUGUUGACAUAAUGGCUUUAAACGACCCGUCUUGA